rnacentral:lncRNA from 1 species
AUGAUUUCGUGACAACUUACAACUUUCCCUCAUCCAAUAGUACACCGAAACCCACUUCUACUGCUACUUCAAUAGUUUCACCUUGUCAAAUCCUGGGGCCGCUUAUGUCAAUUAUUUCAUUUUCUCCGCUCCAAAUAAAAAGUUUAACUACUUUGUCUUCAUGUUUUUUUUUUCUUUUUUACAGCAAAUUUCUUUUAAAUACAUGAUUUAUGAGACUUAAACUCAAAACCUCUUUCUUUCAUUUUCUUUGCGAAUGGAUCACCACUCCAUUAGUACUUUGUUUUUUUUUUUUUUUUUUUGGGCCAGCAAAAUGAGAUUUUAUUACUCAAUAAGAACGACAAAGUUUUGAUGUCUUCAACCGAUCUCUGAAUUUGGAUAUCCUUAGCUUUAAAGAUCUUUUCAUUUCUCUUAAGCCAUAGCAUCCAAAUUGUUUUGAAAGCAAUUGAUUUAAUGGUUUCCCUCUUUUCUUUCGACCGGUCCAGAUUGUUUAGCAUAUCUAUCCAUUCGAAUAAAUCUUGUGCUAUAAUGAGUUGAGGAGUUUUACACCACAACGCAAUAGCGGAUUAGAUAAACCAAGGAACUUGGCAUCUGAUGAAUAAAUGUUAUGGCUCGUCUAGCCUGAUAUUACAUCAGGUGUAAUCCUUCUCGAUGUUGGGUAUACCUCUGUGUUUUAUAUACCACUGGUACUUUGUCUUCAUGUUAUUUUACAAAAUAAUACAUAUCCCCUUAAUUCAAAAAUCAAAAUGACUUUUUCUUUUUUUAUAACAUAGUCACAAUUUUUAUAUUUUCUUUUAUAUAUUUCCAUACAUACAAAAAUAAAAGGCCGGCGGGAAUAGUUGAGCUAUUUGGUUGGCAAAAGUGGCGGCCAACCUUUUCCUUUUUUUUCAUAAUAUUCAUUCAAUGUCUACAAAGUCCAUGAGGGGAGGGGCAAUAGUGUUUGAUGUCUAUUACGCUAAAUGGGCGGUAGAGAGAAUACCCUCUAUUGGCCCAAUUAAUUUAUGAUUUUAUUCCGUUUUAAAAUUACGAUUUUGUCAUCAGUUCAAAAUUAUGUUUUUGCCCCCACUUAAAAAUAAAUUUACGCUUUUGCUCCCAGCUAAAUAUUUCAAUUUUGCCCCCGGUUAAAAAUUACGAUUUUGCCCCGUUUCAAUUUACAGUUUUGUCAUUAGUUUUUUCCCUUAAAAUUACAAUUUUGCCAUCAGUUCAAAAUUAUGUUUUUACCUCCACUUAAAAAUAAAUUUACGCUUUUCCUCCCAGCUAAAAAUUCAAAUUUUGCCCUCAGUUCAAAAUUACGAUUUUGCCACGUAUAAAUUUAUAAUUUUGCCAUUAGUUUUUUUCUCACAGUCAAGUUACGAUUUUGCCCUCAACUUAAAUUUACAUUUGCCCAUCGUUUUUGUUUGUUUUCCUGGUGAAAUUACAACUUUGCCCCCAAUGUAAAAUUACAGUCAUGCCGGCAGCUUCUUCGCACUCCCCCAUUGGUCCAUUUAAUUUACGAUUUAUCACUGAAUUAAAAUUAUGAUUCCGCCCUCAGUUAAAAAUUACGGUCUUAUCAUCGUUUUUGUUUUUUUUUUCUAGCAAAAUGAUAGUAAUCUUUUUUAAUUGAUUGAGAAUUAUUCGGCCAUCGCCCCGCAACGCGAACAGGGCAUCAACUAGUUUUUUACAAAAAGAUCCAAAGGACGUUACAGUCCGUCAAGAUACCUCAACAAAUUUCCCAAAAACCUACGGAACUCCAAAGGAUGUCAUUGAAUCUCCGCGAAUUAUCCUUACUCCGCGACUUAUCUCGCUCUCUCUCGCUUUGUUGACCACAAAGACAUAGCAUAAGUAGCUUACAAAAGGUAUUGUAAAUUUUUCUAGUGUUAAGAGAUGAAUUUUAGUGGAUGCCUCGCCCACAAUCAUUAGCACAUGGUGUGGUGCAAAAACAGGAGGUGUGGGAUGGAGCGUGGAAAAGUGACGUUAUUCGACACGUGACACACACUUUUUGUUAUUAUUUUAUAUUUAAAUUUUAUAAAAAAAUCUAUUA